rnacentral:rRNA from 1 species
UACAGAGGGUGCGAGCGUUAAUCGGAAUUACUGGGCGUAAAGCGCACGUAGGCGGCUUGGUAUGUCGGGUGUGAAAUCCCCGGGCUCAACCUGGGAACUGCAUCCGAAACUGCCUUGCUCGAGUAUGGGAGAGGGAAGUGGAAUUUCCGGUGUAGCGGUGAAAUGCGUAGAUAUCGGAAGGAACAUCAGUGGCGAAGGCGACUUCCUGGACCAAUACUGACGCUCAGGCGCGAAAGCGUGGGGAGCAAACAGG